CAGAUUCAGUACCGGAAGGUCGCAAAUGGAAAACAUACUUUGUAAACAUACUUUAUUGCAAUUCUGUUAGCACACUUCCGUCAAUAUGCAACAUUUUCACCGUUCUAUUGUCAGAUCUGCUCUAAUGUUGUCGUCAAUUUGAUUGUGGAAUAUGUUCGUCAGAUUUGGUUCACAGUGGAGACCAACUGAGGACACAGUAGGCUCUGGCUUUGGCAUUAUAGUUCCGCUGAUAUUUGUUUCUCAUUUGGCAACAUCCCACAAUCAAAAUGUUUGCUGGCCACUUUUGUUGUCCAUUGGUGACGCAGCCACAAUGCAUCAGUAAAGAAAUGUCCAUCGGCAGCGUAAACAUAGACGGUCAAAAUUAUUGAGCACGUCUACAAAGAUUUUGUUUGAAGAUUUGGGAACCGAAGAAACACGCGGAGAAAACUCAAAAUCCAGAGCACGUGAUACCAGUUAACAAACUUAGGAACGUUAGUUAAAUUAUCGAAAUCUUCCAGUAAAGAACUUCUGACUUCUGAUAAACAAUUCUAAUAAUGGCACGGAUGUCAUUAUGGAAUAGGUUUGAAUCGAAGGAGGAAGCUCAAAAAUGGUUA